GUUACUUGAUAUGAACUCCGCCCUCGUCGCUGUUCUCCCAUCCUCCCCCCCCCCUCUCUCCCUGACGCUUCCACCCUUUUCUCGCCCUCUCUGCGCGCGCGUUGUUGUUGCUGUGGCCGUUUAUUACUAUCAUUUCUUUGUUGUUGUUCUAUAGCGGAUUGCUGCAGCGUAGGAGUCGUGUUCUCUUUUCCCUACACCUCCCUCUUCGAAACACACACACACAAGCACCGCCACUCCUUGACGCCGUCUUUUCACACGUGCCACGGGGUGACUGGUGCGGCUUCCCCUCUCCUUCUGUUGUCUCCUCUCUCUAUCUGUAUCUGCAUCCGUGUCACUGCCCUGCUGACCCUCUCCCGCCCCCGUCUCGUCCCUACCCCCUCUUUUUGGCCCUCACACCUUCCCUUUUUUAUUUUUGUAUCACCGCUCCUCCUCGCUGAACCUCCCUCUUUUCGGUUUCCGGUUCUUGUAAGAAAGGGGGUGUUGCUCAACACCUGCUUUUCAACGAAGCGGUCCACUGAACGGGGCGUGAAGCAGGACAAGGACGAUUGGCCAAGCGGCGACAGGAGAAGGCUGAGUGGAGACGGGAAGAGAGAGGGAGGUGUAGUACGUGUCCUCCAUUGCUCUACUUCUCUCGGUGUUUGUUCUUGAGUUCAUUUGCGUGCGACAUUUUCUGCCGCUUUUGCGUUCGUGCUUGUGGGUCUGGUGUGUUCCUUCUCCAACUAGCAGCGACAGCAGGUUAGCCUGCACAGUGCUUCGGGUGUAAAGCACAUCAUCGUACGUUUUGUAGAGGCAUGUCUUCGAAUCCUGGUGCAAUCGCCGAAAAGGGGACGAGCGCCUCUACUGAGGGAGCAUACAUUAUGUGCUUCGCCUGCUCGCGCUGCGAGUACCCUAUCUGCGACAGCAGCACGCUGCUUCUCCGCAAGGUGCGUCAGGGGCCGAGUGAGUACGCCUUUCACUACAACCUGGACGGGCUACUCGACCUCGAGGAUGUGCAAGUACCAUGCUAUAGCGCGGUUGAGGUCGUACACACUUCGGCAGUAGUAUCCGAGUCUCUCAUGAAGUUUCCAAUGCCGCCUGCUGCGCUGGUGGUGGCCCUCGAGUCCAUCGUGCAAUCUCGCAAACACUGGAUCCAGCAGCGUCAGAGCAUGAAUGCCCGACUGCACGAGCGCGGCGUCGCGGCGCUGCCCGCAACAAGCGCGGAAACCUCGAUAGAAGCGGUCACAAGCGGCACGGCCUCGUCAGUUGAGGGCGCGCGGUCCACGCCUUCUGACGUGAGCAGGGGUGCAGACGCCGCCCCGGUGGCUGCAGCCACCACAGCAGCGAGCAGCGCUCCCAUUGUGCGUCGCUACGGGGACACGGCAGAGAGCCGUAUCGACCUUGUGUGCGUCAAGGACAGCGUGCUCGCGGGCGGGGUGCAGGAGUGCACGAAGGACCGCAGUGCAGUGGCCACCACCGUAGUCAGCCCGGAGGACCAGGGCGCUGAAGAUGGAGCAGAAUCUGCCGCCCAUCGCGAGGACGGAGAAGUAGUGAGAUCGGCCUUGGCGACUGCGCCAGCGGUAAUCCGCGACGCGAGCUUCGCCAACAUCCAGGCAGACGUCAUGAAGGCGGCCACUGCCGCCGCUGCCGAGACGAGUUGGACCUCACCUGGCAACUUUCGCCUCCGUGAAGCAUUCAUCGACGUGAGCCGCUCGACACUGUCAUCACGCGCGCCAUGGUUCCAGGACUACAAAUGCGUGAGCCGGGUGCAAUGCCCAGACUGUCACCAACCGCUAGGCUUUGUGUUCUGCGUCUCGGACUCAAAAAAACAGCAGCAGCAGCAGCGCUCCUCAAGUGAAGCUGCGGGGCCGCUUGAGGCGACGCUGCAGACGCAGGGGGUGAAGCGUCCAGCCACAUCGGAGGCAGAUGAGACGGGCAGCAUCGACGACGCUGACACCCCACCAGACGCCGUCGCUGUCCAACGCAGUAGCGCUGACCCAGCCACCGCCCCAGUGACAGAAGUAACGCAGCUGCCGCAUGCGAAGAAGACACGAAAUGAAAAAGAUGCACAGGCAGCGGCGUCGGCCAGUACGCGGCACACGUGGCAGGAAGCGCGGCUCCACCGGCAACGCAACGGCGCUGAAGAAUGCCAGGGAAGAGGUGGCAAUGAGGCGGAGGACAAGGGGGACGGGGUGCAAGGCGGCGCGGACGAGGCUGACGAAGACGACGCGGAGGCAGCCCCCGAUCGAUUUGUCGGACUCGAACUGAAGCGUAUUGUCCAGCGCCAAUGGACACUGAGCAUCUUUCACGAACGCUACAGCAAGUCGCGUCAGCUGCAAACGUUUCGGGAGCUUUUUCCCGAAGCCGAGGAGCUGCAGAGCUUGUACAGCCGCCUGCUGGGCCUCCGCACCCAGACGGAGCUUUACAGCAGUCUGCUACGCCGACACAAGGAGCAGAACGAUGUUCAGAUGGCACUCUUGAUGAGCAACAAGGAUCGCAUGCACACGUACGAUGAGAAGGUCAAGACAAUGCAGCAGAUCAUUGAGGCGCAGCGGGCACAGAUCGCCAUGCAGACGCGGCAGAUUCGAAACCAGGAGGAGCUCGUGCAGAGCCACCGGCGGCAGUUUGCCACACAGAAGCGGCAGAUGGAUGUAGAGCAGCUCCUGCUCGUGCAGCAGAGCAAAACGAUCGAGUCGCAGAAGGAGCAGUUACGCUUGCUGAAGAACCACUUCCAGGCGACACGGCCUGAGGUUUUGCUGGACGCGCGGCUGAGAGGCAGUCCUUGCCCACCGCCCUUGCUGAGCCGCGGCCCACCCAGUGGCACCGGCGGUGUCGAAUCGUGGCAGUCUGGCGACGCGACUGCGCCGCUUCGACAGCUUUCCGCGAGAGAUCGGUACCGCGAAGAGGCAGAGCACGAUUGGACUGACGCAGAGGAGGAGGAGGCGGAGGAGGGGGGUGGAGAGGGCGAUGAGCGGAUUCAAAAGACUGUGGCGCCCUCGGCGAGCCUCUCUGUCGCGCCUUUGGAGACACCGCCGGCGCACCUCUGCGGCGUGCCCACAUCCUCCGCGUCUCGCCACGGAGUCACUCCCUCCGAAAGCGACCAGGCAUUGGCUCGCGCAUCGCUUCCGCUUUCCUCGUUCGGUUCCGAAAGAGGAAAAACAACGUAGUGCAGGCCUGCUGGCAAGCGUUUGCGGUUGCGAUGGAUGUGUGUGUGUGUGUGUGUGUGUGCCACGCUCGUUCUCGCCUCAGCGGCGCCUCUCUGCGUCCGAUCUAGCCCUCCGUUCUCCCACUAUUUAGUGUGCACGACGCCCUCUCUCGCUGCAUACAGAGAGCGACACCUUGCAGAAAUGAAAAAUGGUUACGGUAAGCGCAGUGAAGUACACACGGGGCGACGCGGCACACACAUACACGCGUGCACAUCACGCAGGAUGUCGCCGAUGCCCAUGCAACUCUCCUGUCUUUCACUUCGUGAUGUCUCUUUCCCGUCAAGUCGCUAAAUAGUUCUUUCCACGCCCUCCAUCUAACGCGGUGAGGCCAGAGCACGCGGGAGAAGUAUCCUCGCAACGCACACAUGGUCGGCUCAGCAACGUCGCCGUUGCGGC
rnacentral:misc_RNA from 1 species